rnacentral:rRNA from 1 species
CCUUGUACACACCGCCCGUCACACCAUGGGAGUUGAUUUUACCCGAAGACGGUGCGCUAACCGCAAGGAGGCAGCCGGCCACGGUAAGGUCAGCGACUGGGGUG